CCACCCCCGUCCUGGCCCCUGAACAGCACACCAAAGCCACCAGACGGGGACCCCAGCUCCUUUGGACGGGUUGGCAGGCAGCAGGGCCCAAGGACCCAGAAGGGCCAGUGAGGACGCGUCUGGAUCCCCAGAGCUGCGCCCCGCCGGCACCGGCCAGGCACUACCCAUGUUCUGAGAGGACCCACGACGGGGACAGGCGGCACCCAGACCCCCUCGAAGGCGGAGCUGUUGCUUCCCAGUUCGCAGAUCGGGAAACUGAGUCCUGGGGGUAGAGGGCAGGGCCCCAGCCCCCUGACAGCCCGGGUCGUGUGCCCCGCCCUGUAGGAAGGAAGGGCCGAGCUCUCCUGUGCCCAGCACCCGAGGCUCCCUCCACUGGCCGGAAACUGAGGCCCCUUGCACAACCGGCCAGCCCGGGAGGGGUCCUGCGCCAUGUGUGGGGGGCGAUGCCACCUGCGCCUCUCCCCCUGCUUCGUCUCUGCGCCCCAGCUCCAUCUCCUCCGCCCUCUUCCCUCCUCCUCCGCCUCCUUCCUUCCUUCCUCUCCCUCCGAUCCUGCAGCUCCCCCCACAGAGCCCUGAGGAGAAUGCGCUGUGCUCACCACAGCCAUUGUCUAGCUCUGGACGACUUCCUGCCGCUGAUCAGGACUGGGGCCACCGUGGGGGUGACUGGGGCUAGACUGCAGGGAGGAGGUGCUGUGCUUCGGCAGGCAGGGGCGUCCCUCUCUGAGCCUCAGUGUCCUCGCCUGUAAGACAGGGACCAUCUUGCCAGGUGAGGUGACGCGUGCCUGUCAUCCCAGCACUCGGGAGGCUGAGGCAGGAGGGUCACCCUGAGUUCAAGGCCUGGAGUGAGACUGUUUCAAAGAAAAACAAGGAAAGAAAGAAAUGAGGCCCAUUCUGAUGGCUCCCUAAGUCGACUGUGACACCUAGGGAAUGACCCUAACAGAGGUCAUCUGGCCUGCACGUCAUGGGCACUUGGCUAACCCUGGUCCACUAGAGGUCAAAGCCCAGGCCAGCAGGGCCACCCCCUCCACACCACCCCGGCAGGGCUGAGUCCUUGAGCCCUUUCCUAGAAGCACCAGCAGGGGAGAACUCGAAGCCAGACCUGGGGCUUCUGGUGGGGCAGGGUGACAGAGGAGGGAGGAGUGCACCCCAGGUCUUGGCCUGCUGGGUGCCGGGGUGCCCUCCUGAAGGGGUUUGAGGAGAGGGUGGGUGGCCAGUGCCAACCCUAAGCACGCGAGUGCCCGUGGCUGUGGAAACUGGCUGUGGUGGCUGGCGUCUGUCCCUGUCCCUCUUCAGUAGGAAGAAGGACUCAAACCCUAAAGUGGCACUGGCUUUCUCAAGUCCGCUUCCAGUGCCUGCUUCUUGCCACACAUACAGCGGUGGGAAUUGCCUCAGAACCAGGCGCCAGGCACAGGGACGAGUGGGAGGCCAAGGUGACAGCAAUGCGGGGCACAUCCCUGUCCAGGCUCAAGGCUGGUGGCUGGGCCUUCCCCACACCCGUCUCCAGCGCUGCCUGUCCCCUCCAUGCUCCGGCUGCCCUGGCUGUCUGGGACAGGGAGGAGGAGGGCAACAGCAAUACCAGGAAGGGGAGGAGGUGGAAAUGUUUUUCUUCUUCGACUAGAAAAAACAACAGUGGGCCGAGCUGGCUGGAGGAGGGAUCCUGCCUGCGCCCUGUCCCCAUCUGCCUUCCGCCCCAGCCCUGCCUGUUUCCCCACAGGAAGCUCCCGACGCGCAGUUCCUCCCUGCGCCUUGUGGCCAGGAAGCUGCUGGUGACAAGGCCAGGACACGACCACCGAGGCUCCCUGCAGACGGGGCUGCUGCCUACGCCACCCGCUCGGCCAGCCCUGCCCCUCACCAUGGCACCGAGCCCAGGGUGACCGCGCUGGCGCCUCUCUGUGAGCCUCACUUUCUGUGAUAUAUGCCACAGGGCUGCUGGAGCUGGAGCGAUGCAGAGGCUCUGAGAGGCCCCAGGGCCACCCGAGGCCACACCGUGCCUGUCCCUUCCUCGUGGCCCUCAUGUGAAGUCAGACAUUCCCUGCAGGCCCCAGCUCCAGGGAAAGCCAGGCUUUCCCUUCUGUACCUGCUCCCACUGCCAAAGCACCCUCCUGCCACCCCUGGGGUGCAGGAAAUGGUUCUCAUUCCUGGGUGUGAGUGGUGCCCUCUGACACCCAUGUCCUUGCCCUCUGUGGCUGGGGGACGAGCGCCCACGGCAGGCGCCUGGCCUGGGCUUGGCCUUUGUGCUCUGUGAGGGGACAAUGGGCGGCAUUCUCAGACGCCCUGUCAUGGGCCGCUCUGCUGGGGCCGUGGCUUCACAGUGAGGCCUCUGUCCAGUGCCACGGCGAGGGCACGGGCCCCACCCACGUCCCAGCCCUGAGACAGGACAGGAGGGAGGCAUGGGCUGUGCAGUCCUACUGUGUGUAGCUGCUUCCCUGCUGGGCCUUGCACAGAGCCAGGGCUAGUGGCUGCUGGACAGGUAAACUGAGGCCAAGAGGUGUGGCACUGGGCCUGUAUCCUGGCUGGGCAGGAACCCAGGGACCAGCAGUGGCUGUACCUGAGGCUCCGUGAUUGCACAGUGCAGCCUGAGCUGGGCACAGGGCCCUCCUAUCACAAGGCAGGGACUGAGUCCUCUGCAGAGGGGACACUGAGGCUGCAGAAAGAAUAAAUAGUGGUAGCAGAGGCCCCUCAGCCCUUCCGUGGGUGCCCAGUCCCAAGCACCUUGUGCAUGUUAAUUUAUUUGAACCUACAACAGUCCUACCAAGAAAGUAACGUUAUCCCACCCAUUUAUAGGUAGGGAAACCGAGGAGGGGCCAUGCCUUUUCCACAGCCGGCAGCUGGCAGGUGGCAGAGCCCUACUUUUCUGUUUUUGCCAUCUGGGAGGGGACCUGGGGCCUGGCGCUUGCUGGCAGGCACUGAGCACUAGGCCUAAGGACUGAGGUGGGGUGUCUGAGGCCUAGCCUGGCACACACUUCCUCCAGCCCAUCCUGGGUGGUCACAAGGGCAGAGCUGUUCCCCCACCAGGUCACCCUUAGUGACAGCAUAGAUACUGCAAGGACCCACUUGGGCUCUGAAUCUGGAAAGGGAAAGGGAGGAUGAGGGGUGAAUGCUCACACAGGGGUGAUGAGAGCCUGGCAUGGACCAGCAGGACCCAGGUCUGCCUGUCUCCCCGAGGCCCUGGCCCCUCCUGCUAUCCCAGAACUCCAGGGUUUUAGGGGCCGUCAGUCACCUGAACUCUGCUUAGGGGAGUUCCGUGUGCCCUUGGGUAGUGACUCCUGCUGGCCUUGGGAGUUCCAGACCUUGGCUCUGGACGGUUUAACCCCUGAGCUCAGGUGGCCCAGCAAGACCUUGGAUUGUCUCACCCCUGCCCUUGAGUUGUCUACUUCUGGCCUCAGAUGGUCCAGCCUCUGGCCUUGGGUGGUCUAGCCUGUGACCCCAAAUGGCCCACCUCUGACCUUGCAUGGUCCAGGUCUGGCCUGAGGCUCUGCAGCUCAGCCUCCCUUUCCCUGGCCGAGCCCCGUCUGCUGAGGAACUUGGAAGUGGUUCUUCAGGGACUUUUGGGUGACAUCAUUGCUCCUUACUCAAAAGUGGCCCUGCUGACCGCAGCCAGCUGUCCUGGGAUGAGCCACCAUCCUCAGCCUGUACUUCCCCCUACACUUCCCCAUCCCUACUGAGAAGCUGCCCCUGACCCCCAGCUGGGUCCCGGGUGUCCCUGAGUCCCCACCCCUUGUCCCCAGACACUCUUGCUGUCCGGUGCUCCAGCGGGGACCUCGGUUUUUGCAACAGCUCCUCCCCCAGCCAGGCUCAUGUCAAGCUGGGCUGUGCAGGGUCCCUGUGUCCCCUGUCACUGGCAGGAGUGGGCUGGGCAUGCUCACCAGGGAGGAUGAAUGGUGAUAUCCCCUCUCCUCUCUGGGUCCCACUCAUCACUCGCCUCUGGCAGGGAGGGCCUCAGCCCCUCUGCAGCCCCCUGGUGGGCAGCAGCUUGGCUGGUGGUGUCUGCAGUUUGUGCCCUCAGUACCCAACACAGGCCACAGAGAUGGGCACCUGUACCUGGCACAUGGCAGGAGCCAGGCCUACAGGAUUGGGCUGGAAAAGCCCUUUCAUCUGGAUAGAAGCUACCAGUGUGUGCAGAGUGGCCACAUGGGCAAGAAGAUAUGGCUCUGGGUGAAGGGCAAGUCCCGGCCAUGCAGUGCUGGGUGGGAACAUCUGGGGGUGACAGGGGGGCAGCAAGUGCAAAGGUCCCGGGGCCUCAUGGCCAUGGCUCUAGCCCUUUGCCUCUGCUCUCAGUAAGCGGGGAGGAGUUAGAGUUGGGGAGUCUUGGCGCCUCGGCAGAUGCUUCAGGCCCAUCUCUGACUUCUGCUGUCCCUGCCGGCUUCUUCCAGGUGAAAGUGCCCCAUGCCCCACGCCCCACCCGAGUGGCUAUGUGCCCUGGUUGACCAGCAGGGCCACAGCUCUACGCUGGCUGUCCCAAUGAUCUCUGUACCCAGGACCCCACUACCCAGGGAGUCCAGACGUCCUGUCCCUUCCCCCACCUGCUGUCCCUCCAGCCAAUGCUACUUCCCAAGGGUCCUUUCCUGUCUACUUUCUUUUUUUUUUUUUUUUGGUACCGGGGUUUGAACUCCGGACCUUGUGCUUGAGAGGCAGGCGGCAGAACCACUGAGCUAAAUCCCCAGCCCUCCUGUCCACUUUCUGCAAGCUCAACCCUGAAGCCAACUUGGCUCCCGGGAUGACACUGGUGAAACCCAGCCCCCCAAGUCCCUCUGCUGUGGCCUGUGCCUCAGUUUCUCUGGGGGUUGGGAGGCAUUGCUGAGGACCAUCAACCCCUGCCUCAAAUUGCAAGCCUAGGGUGACAGAAGCCUCUGAAUUCUCCAUGGACGUCGAGAGCAGAGCCUGGCACAGCCCCACACAGGGCCAGGCCGGAGCGAGAACCCUGGCGGGCAGUCAGGAGGGGAGAACACAGAGCCCCUGCAUCCCCCACCCCUCUCCUCAUCCUCUGCAGGCCGGAAGGAAGCCCAGGCGGGAGUCUGGCCCUCAGCUCCCAGAUGAGGAGAACUCGCUCAGAAGGAAAAUAACAUCAGUGCCAUUGUCCCGGCUCCAAAUCCUGCCUGAAAAACAAAGCCAGCCCCACUGCAGCCGGGGAUUCCCUGGCAAAGCCUCAGCCCGGCAGCCUGGUCAGGGCGGCGCAGACCCGCAGGGAGGCAAAGGGGUCAGCACCUGCAGUGGAGACUCCCGUGUACCCCACAAGCCCGGCAGCUGCCGCCAAGGGCUGCAGAGGCGGCUGGGGAGGAGGACGGUAGGCGGCGCCCCCUGAACAUCUGGCGACUUCUGCCCACUCCUGGACAGCUGUGUGCGGCUCUCAAAUUUCAACCCACCUCUCUCCUCCCCCGCAGCUGGCUGUGUCCACUCCUGGAUCCACCCCAGGGCCCGGGCAAGGGGGACAGGAGGCACAGAGUGCGGGGGAUGGGGUGGGGGUGGCCCGUGGGCUGGGAGGAGGCCCUCGGGGGUUUCUGUCCUGCUCCAAUCCCUGGGGCACCUGGUGGCUGUGAACCUGACAUGGCAUCUGAGAUCCAUGUCUUGAGGGGCCUGCCAUGCUGCAUCCACCUUGGCCCCUGCACCGGGCCCCCUUUGGGGUCCAGAGCACCUUACUGCCUAAGCCCUGCCUGCUCCCAGGGUGCAGGGUGGAAUCCGAUGGGGACCUGAGCUGAAGGUGCUGUGCUGGCAGCUUGAGGGGGCAGGACCCCAGGACCCCAGGACCACCCUGCAGGGUGAGGCCCCUCCUCUAUCCCCUUCCUUCCCUCUGACCCCUACCAAGCUGAAAGUGCCAGCCCGAGUGUUGUUCAGGCCUCUGGGCUCCAGGCAGGCUGGCUGGAAACAGGCACAAGAUGUUUGUCCAGGUGCUUGGCUGGGCCUGGAGGAAGGAGGAAGGGGAGGAAGGGCCAGAGCGGGCAGAAGCCCAGUCAGCAGCUGGCCUCGCCCUCCACACCUCCAGAGGCAGGCAGCGCCUGUGGGCCACAUCGCACCUGCUGAACAACAGGACUGUGCUGUGUGGGGACCUGGCCUGCACAGAGGUGUGCAGACGUGGGAAGGCGGACGGACACCUGUGGGCACCUAGAGGGAGCAGCUCUGGAGCGGGGAGAAAAUAGUUCUCUGUUGCUAUGCCGCUAGCCAGUGGAAUUUGUCACGGCAGCCAUCUGACCCCAGAACCUCUCUGCCUGCAGUGAGAGUGGCCGGCACCCGCCCCCAACAGAGCCCAUUUCUUCUCCUCAGGGCGCUGCCUCUCAGCACCCAGGUCUGGGCCUGGGGUGGUGGCACUAGCCUGCAGCUCCAGCCCUCUGGGAGGCUGAGGCAGGAGGAUUGGAAGUGCGAACCCAGCCUGGGCAACUUAGC